UACGUAGGGGGCUAGCGUUGUCCGGAAUCAUUGGGCGUAAAGCGCGCGUAGGCGGCCCGGUAAGUCCGCUGUAAAAGUCAAAGGCUCAACCUUUGAAUGUCAGUGGAUACUGCCGGGCUAGAGUCCGGAAGAGGCGAGUGGAACUCCUGGUGUAGCGGUGGAAUGCGCAGAUAUCAGGAAGAACACCGACGGCGAAGGCAGCUCGCUGGGACGGUACUGACGCUGAGGCGCGAAAGCCAGGGGAGCGAACGGG
rnacentral:rRNA from 1 species